rnacentral:rRNA from 1 species
AUACGUAGGUGGCAAGCGUUGUCCGGAUUUACUGGGCGUAAAGGGAGCGUAGGUGGAUAUUUAAGUGGGAUGUGAAAUACUCGGGCUUAACCUGGGUGCUGCAUUCCAAACUGGAUAUCUAGAGUGCAGGAGAGGAAAGUAGAAUUCCUAGUGUAGCGGUGAAAUGCGUAGAGAUUAGGAAGAAUACCAGUGGCGAAGGCGACUUUCUGGACUGUAACUGACACUGAGGCUCGAAAGCGUGGGGAGGC